UGGGGAAUAUUGGACAAUGGGCGCAAGCCUGAUCCAGCCAUGCCGCGUGAGUGAUGAAGGCCCUAGGGUUGUAAAGCUCUUUCACCGGUGAAGUUAAUGACGGUAACCGGAGAAGAAGCCCCGGCUCACUCCGUGCCAGCAGCCGCGGUAAUACGAAGGGGGCUAGCGUUGUUCGGAUUUACUGGGCGUAAAGCGCACGUAGGCGGACUUUUAAGUCAGGGGUGAAAUCCCGGGGCUCAACCCCGGAACUGCCUUUGAUACUGGAAGUCUUGAGUAUGGUAGAGGUGAGUGGAAUUCCGAGUGUAGAGGUGAAAUUCGUAGAUAUUCGGAGGAACACCAGUGGCGAAGGCGGCUCACUGGACCAUUACUGACGCUGAGGUGCGAAAGCGGGGGGAGCAAACAGG
rnacentral:rRNA from 1 species